rnacentral:misc_RNA from 1 species
UCUCCGUAGGUGAACCAGCGGAAGGAUCAUUAACGAGAAUUUGACCUUCGAGGCAGUUCUGCAACCCUUUGCCUAUAUCAUCUUCGUCGCUCUUGCCGGCCCGUCCCCGCACCACUGGCCUCGGCUUGUCUGUGCAUCCCAGGAUACCCAAGAGUCUUCUUAUUAAUGUCGUCAGAGUUCUAAAUACUAGUCAAAACUUUCCACAACGGAUCUCUUGGUUCUCGCAUCGUAGAAGCACGCAGCAGAUCGCAAGACCAAACGUCGGAACUCCAGUCACGC